rnacentral:rRNA from 1 species
AACCUCCGCAAUGUGAGAAAUCGCGACGGGGGGAUCCCAAGUGCCAUUCCUAACGGGAUGGCUUUUCAUUAGUGUAAAAAGCUUUUGGAAUAAGAGCUGGGCAAGACCGGUGCCAGCCGCCGCGGUAACACCGGCAGCUCUAGUGGUAGCAAUUUUUAUUGGGCCUAAAGCGUCCGUAGCCGGUUUAAUAAGUCUCUGGUGAAAUCCUGUAGCUUAACUGUGGGAAUUGCUGGAGAUACUAUUAGACUUGAGACCGGGAGAGGUUAGAGGUACUCCCAGGGUAGAGGUGAAAUUCUGUAAUCCUGGGAGGACCGCCUGUUGCGAAGGCGUCUAACUGGAACGGUUCUGACGGUGAGGGACGAAAGUUAGGGGCGCGAACCGGAUUAGAUACCCGGGUAGUCCUAACUGUAAACGAUGCGGACUUGGUGUUGGGGUGGCUUUGAGCUGCUCCAGUGCCGAAGGGAAGCUGUUAAGUCCGCCGCCUGGGAAGUACGGUCGCAAGACUGAAACUUAAAAGGGAA